UUAAUUAUAAAUGUCAAUAAAUUAUCAAAAAAAAAUUUCGCUCGUGGAUAAAAGAAUAAAUUAGAGAAAUUGAAACGUAAGGUAUGAAACCUAGAAUUUAGACGCAUUUGGGGAAAAAUUGUUAGAUAUCGUGGGCACAAAGCCAAAACCACGAAUCUGAAAAAGUAUAGUUCUGAGAAAAAUGGAUUCAAAUUUUUUGAAAUUCAUGCAAACUCAUGGAAACUCGUGUAACGGACUCCUAGACUCUUAUAGGCAACAGAUAGAGGAUUGUUGUCCACGCAAUAAA